rnacentral:rRNA from 1 species
GACGAACCGUGCGAACGUUGUUCGGAUUCAUCUGGCUUAAAGGGCGCGAGUAGGCGGCCCGGCCAAGUCAGGGGUGAAAUCUACCCGGCUGCAACCGGGAAACCAGCUUCUGAAUACUGGCGGGCUGGAGGGAGGUAGGGGGCGGAGUGGAACUUCCGGUGGAGCGGUGAAAUGCGUAGAUAUACGGGAGGAACACCAAUGGCGAAGGCAGCUCGCUGGGACGGUACUGACGCUGGAGUACGACGAAAGCGGUGGGGAUCAAACAGGG